UACGAAGGGAGCUAGCGUUGUUCGGAAUCACUGGGCGUAAAGCGCACGUAGGCGGAUUUGCCAGUCAGGGGUGAAAUCCCGGGGCUCAACCUCGGAACUGCCUUUGAUACAGCAAGUCUUGAGUUCGAGAGAGGUGGGUGGAAUUCCUAGUGUAGAGGUGAAAUUCGUAGAUAUUAGGAAGAACACCGGUGGCGAAGGCGGCCCACUGGCUCGACACUGACGCUGAGGUGCGAAAGCCAGGGGAGCGAACGGG
rnacentral:rRNA from 1 species